rnacentral:rRNA from 1 species
GUAGGUGGCAAGCGUUGUCCGGAAUUAUUGGGCGUAAAGCGCGCGCAGGCGGUCCUUUAAGUCUGAUGUGAAAGCCCACGGCUCAACCGUGGAGGGUCAUUGGAAACUGGAGAACUUGAGUACAGAAGAGGAAAGCGGAAUUCCACGUGUAGCGGUGAAAUGCGUAGAGAUGUGGAGGAACACCAGUGGCGAAGGCGGCUUUCUGGUCUGUAACUGACGCUGAGGCGCGAAAGCGUGGGGAGCAAACAGGAUUAGAUACCCUGGUAGUCCACGCCGUAAACGAUGAGUGCUAAGUGUUAGGGGGGUUUUCCGCCCCCCUUAGUGCUGCAGCUAACGCAUUAAGCACUCCGCCUGGGAGUACGGCCGCAAGGCUG